UACGGGGGGGGCAAGCGUUGUUCGGAAUUACUGGGCGUAAAGGGCUCGUAGGUGGCCAACUAAGUCGGACGUGAAAUCCCUCGGCUUAACCGGGGAACUGCGUCCGAUACUGGUUGGCUUGAGUUUGGGAGAGGGAUGCGGAAUUCCAGGUGUAGCGGUGAAAUGCGUAGAUAUCUGGAGGAACACCGGUGGCGAAGGCGGCAUCCUGGACCGACACUGACACUGAGGAGCGAAAGCCAGGGGAGCAAACGGG
rnacentral:rRNA from 1 species